rnacentral:tRNA from 1 species
GUUUUAAUAAUUUAAAUAAAAUACUGGUCUUGUAAAUCAGAUAUAAGAUUAUUCUUUUAAAACA